rnacentral:rRNA from 1 species
CAACGGAUCUCUUGGUUCUGGCAUCGAUGAAGAACGCAGCAAAAUGCGAUAAGUAAUGUGAAUUGCAGAAUUCAGUGAAUCAUCGAAUCUUUGAACGCACAUUGCGCCCGCCAGUAUUCUGGCGGGCAUGCCUGUUCGAGCGUCAUUUCAACCCUCAA